UGCCGUCUGUGGGAAGCUGCCCUAACCCAUUCGCCUUCCCCGGCUUGGAAAAACAAUGUCCCAGUGAUGAACUGCCUUGCAGAUUUAUUUUGAUUUAAAUCGCCUUCCCUUCAACCCAAACCAGGGCACAGAAAGGUGGUUAGAAUGUUCCAGCACAAACUCAUAUGAGCACAGCAGCUAUUCCAGGGAAAAGCGUCCUCCCUACCUGCAAGAAGCUUCCUUUCAAGACACUGAUAUUAUCAAGAACGUGAAGGAAGAGUGGCAGCGGCCCACCUGAGGCACAGCAGAGCUGGGGGUGAUGAGAGAAAUUUAAGGGAAAUGGCCCCUGUUGGACACGGGCUUCCUUUGACUGUGUGGGAAUCCCACCUGGCCACAGACAAAGGGUAGAGGAAGCAAGUGCCCCAGGAGUCUUGAUCUCAGCCCAGCUCAGCAUGAGGAAAGCAGCAAGCAGGAAGAGUGAGUGUUCCUGGUACCACGGCUACCAGGCUCUUCCCAGUUUAGAGUGCUCAACAUUCUAAAACUUGACCAGCCAGCUGGGAGAUUUGGGUAUUCAGAUUUUUGGGUGCCUUAAGAUUCCACUGGCAGUAGAGAAUCACUAAAUGUCCAUUUCUGAAUGAAUUCUACUCCCCAGAGACAUUAACACACGAUGUACUUGGCUUGAAUCCUGUUUGAUUUAAGAAAAUCGGCCAAGAGUCCUUCAUAAGUUACUCACAUCUGAGGCACCAUCGGGCUGACCGUGGGACACUCCAGAUGGGGAGUGCUGUGUACCCUCUGCCUCUCCUGUGACCCGAACACCUCCUCUCUCUCUCCAUGGACGACGUUUUCAUCUUAUGGUCUGGGAAUGCUACCUGACCACCCUGGAGGGUCACCCAAGGAAAGAGUUCGUUCCAAAGACAGGUGCUCCUCUGAGUUCCUCUGGAAUCUGGCAAGGUGCCGAGCUUGGACGCAAGGCUUCCAUGAGGCUGUGAAGGAGGUUGCACGGAAACUGGUGGGGAUCUGAAAAGCUUUUAGUGGCCUCGCCACACACAGCACUUCAGAUGCUCAGGUGAUGAGCAACAUUUUCCAAACCCAGCUAGUGAGCACCCCACCUCCUCUGGCUUCCAGAACCUGGUGUGGAGGGCCAGGAGAGGCUUCGGGACUGAAGGGCAGAGCAGCAGACUCCGGGGCUCAUGUAGGAAGGAACAUGCCUUCAGCCAAAGAUUAUCCACGCUGCAUGGAGACUCUUGCUAAAUAUCACUGGUAAAUGCACAAUUAUGUCCCAUUUAGAGAUCUCUAGCAGAGUGUCUUGUGUUUGAUGGAUUUGUCCUGCAUUUAAUUAUAACUUCCUGCUAAAGCUCAGAUGUUUUCUUUCAGGGGUAAGACUGAAGAAAAGAAAUAAACUAUGCUACCUGCUCUUAAUAAAGAUCAUUUUAUUUUAAACAGGAGGCUGAAUAAAACCUUUUGACUCUGUAUUUCAGACAAAUGCAGUGGCUUAAUUUCAUUCAAUCAUUUACUGAGGAUCUGAAAUGCAUGCGGUUAGUGGUGAGAAUACUGACUCAGGGCUGUCCCUUCCUCUGGAGUUGACAGCCGACUGCGCAGGAAGGGAAGGUGAGGGUCAAACACACAGGUCAACAUCAGAAACAGCACUUCCGCCUUCCAUUGGCCCCGAU
rnacentral:lncRNA from 1 species